rnacentral:rRNA from 1 species
GACGAACGCUGGCGGCGUGCUUAACACAUGCAAGUCGAACGGAAAGGCCCUGCUUUUGUGGGGUGCUCGAGUGGCGAACGGGUGAGUAACACGUGAGUAACCUGCCCUUGACUUUGGGAUAACUUCAGGAAACUGGGGCUAAUACCGGAUAGGAGCUCCUGCUGCAUGGUGGGGGUUGGAAAGUUUCGGCGGUUGGGGAUGGACUCGCGGCUUAUCAGCUUGUUGGUGGGGUAGUGGCUUACCAAGGCUUUGACGGGUAGCCGGCCUGAGAGGGUGACCGGCCACAUUGGGACUGGGAUAGGGCCCAGACUCCUACGGGAGGAAGCAGUGGGGAAGAUUGCACAAUGGGCGGAAGCCUGAUGCAGCAACGCCGCGUGCGGGAUGACGGCCUUCGGGUUGUAAACCGCUUUCGCCUGUGACGAAGCGUGAGUGACGGUAAUGGGUAAAGAAGCACCGGCUAACUACGUG